CACUCAGCUUUCUGAAAUGGUGUCCCACCGCAAGGACUGGAGAAGGGCCAUGAGAGAAGCAGUACCUUAUAAUGGUUCCUUGUUCAAAGCACUCAAUAUUCCUAGGAUGUGGUCUCCCAGCUGACUUCAUAACUGAAUCAUCAGUAAUUAAUUUCAUUGUUCUAUUAGGCUGGAGUCCAAUGGUGCGAUGUCUGCUUACUGCAACCUCUGCCUCCCGGGUUCAAGCGAUUCUCCUGUCUCAGCCUCCUGAGGAGAUGGGACUACAGGCACCCUUGGAAAUGCAAUGCUACAUCUCAAUGGGAUUUUCCAGUACAAAGAUUCUUUUCAAAUAACAUAAUUGUGGAUACACACCACUCCUACAGUGGUAAACCUCAGGUUCU
rnacentral:lncRNA from 2 species